rnacentral:rRNA from 1 species
AGAGUUUGAUCCUGGCUCAGGAUGAACGCUGGCGGCGUGCCUAAUACAUGCAAGUCGAGCGAACAGACGAGGAGCUUGCUCCUCUGACGUUAGCGGCGGACGGGUGAGUAACACGUGGAUAACCUACCUAUAAGACUGGGAUAACUUCGGGAAACCGGAGCUAAUACCGGAUAAUAUAUUGAACCGCAUGGUUCAAUAGUGAAAGACGGUUUUGCUGUCACUUAUAGAUGGAUCCGCGCCGCAUUAGCUAGUUGGUAAGGUAACGGCUUACCAAGGCAACGAUGCGUAGCCGACCUGAGAGGGUGAUCGGCCACACUGGAACUGAGACACGGUCCAGACUCCUACGGGAGGCAGCAGCAGGGGAUCUUCCGCAAUGGGCGAAAGCCUGACGGAGCAACGCCGCGUGAGUGAUGAAGGUCUUCGGAUCGUAAAACUCUGUUAUUAGGGAAGAACAAAUGUGUAAGUAACUAUGCACGUCUUGACGGUACCUAAUCAGAAAGCCACGGCUAACUACGUGCCAGCAGCCGCGGUAAUACGUAGGUGGCAAGCGUUAUCCGGAAUUAUUGGGCGUAAAGCGCGCGUAGGCGGUUUUUUAAGUCUGAUGUGAAAGCCCACGGCUCAACCGUGGAGGGUCAUUGGAAACUGGAAAACUUGAGUGCAGAAGAGGAAAGUGGAAUUCCAUGUGUAGCGGUGAAAUGCGCAGAGAUAUGGAGGAACACCAGUGGCGAAGGCGACUUUCUGGUCUGUAACUGACGCUGAUGUGCGAAAGCGUGGGGAUCAAACAGGAUUAGAUACCCUGGUAGUCCACGCCGUAAACGAUGAGUGCUAAGUGUUAGGGGGUUUCCGCCCCUUAGUGCUGCAGCUAACGCAUUAAGCACUCCGCCUGGGGAGUACGACCGCAAGGUUGAAACUCAAAGGAAUUGACGGGGACCCGCACAAGCGGUGGAGCAUGUGGUUUAAUUCGAAGCAACGCGAAGAACCUUACCAAAUCUUGACAUCCUCUGACCCCUCUAGAGAUAGAGUUUUCCCCUUCGGGGGACAGAGUGACAGGUGGUGCAUGGUUGUCGU